rnacentral:rRNA from 1 species
AAAGCUCAAAUUUAAAAUCUGGCGGUCCUCUGGCCGUCCGAGUUGUAAUCUGGAGAAGCGUUUUCCGCGUUGGACCGUGUACAAGUCUUCUGGAACGGAGCGUCGUAGAGGGUGAGAAUCCCGUCUCUGACACGGACUACCAAUGCUUUUGUGAUACGCUCUCGAAGAGUCGAGUUGUUUGGGAAUGCAGCUCAAAAUGGGUGGUAAAUUCCAUCUAAAGCUAAAUAUUGGCGAGAGACCGAUAGCGAA